rnacentral:rRNA from 1 species
AGUGGCAGACGGGUGAGUAACAUGUGGGUAUCUUCCCUUUGGCCUGGAAUAACACGAGGAAACUUGUGCUAAUACCGGAUAAGUCUUUACGGAGAAAGCUUUAUGCACCAUUGGAUGAGCCCGCACUUGAUUAGUUUGUUGGUGGGGUAAUGGCCUACCAAGACUGUGAUCAAUAGCUGAUUUGAGAGGAUGAUCAGCCACAUUGGGACUGAGACACGGCCCAAACUCCUACGGGAGGCAGCAGUGGGGAAUCUUGCACAAUGGAGGAAACUCUGAUGCAGCGAUGCCGCGUGAGUGAAGAAGGCCCUUGGGUUGUAAAGCUCUUUCGUCGGGGAAGAAAAUGACUGUACCCGAAUAAGAAGGUCCGGCUAACUUCGUGCCAGCAGCCGCGGUAAUACGAAGGGACCUAGCGUAGUUCGGAAUUACUGGGCUUAAAGAGUUCGUAGGUGGUUGAAAAAGUUGGUGGUGAAAUCCCAGAGCUUAACUCUGGAACUGCCAUCAAAACUUUUCAGCUAGAGUAUGAUAGAGGAAAGCAGAAUUUCUAGUGUAGAGGUGAAAUUCGUAGAUAUUAGAAAGAAUACCAAUUGCGAAGGCAGCUUUCUGGAUCAUUACUGACACUGAGGAACGAAAGCAUGGGUAGCGAAGAGGAUUAGAUACCCUCGUAGUCCAUGCCGUAAACGAUGUGUGUUAGACGUUGGAAAUUUAUUUUCAGUGUCGCAGCGAAAGCGAUAAACACACCGCCUGGGGAGUACGACCGCAAGGUUAAAACUCAAAUGAAUUGACGGGGACCCGCACAAGUAGUGGAGCAUGUGGUUUAGUUCGAAGAUACGCGCAGAACCUUACCAACACUUGACAUGUUCGUCGCGACUUUAAGAGAUUAAAGUUUUCGGUUCGGCCGGACGAAACACAGGUGCUGCAUGGCUGUCGUCAGCUCGUGCCGUGAGAUGUUGGGUUAAGUCCCGCAACGAGCGCAACCCUCACUUUUAGUUGCCAUCAUUAAGUUGGGCACUCUGAAAGAACUGCCAGUGAUAAGCUGGAGGAAGGUGGGGAUGACGUCAAGUCCUCAUGGCCCUUACGUGUUGGGCUACACACGUGCUACAAUGGUAUCUACAACAGGAAGCGAAACAGCGAUGUUAAGCAAAUCCUUAAAAGAUACCUCAGUUCGGAUUGCACUCUGCAACUCGAGUGCAUGAAGCUGGAAUUACUAGUAAUCGUGGAUCAGCGUGCCACGGUGAAUGCGUUCCCGGGUCUUGUACACACCGCCCGUCA